GUUGGCUUCGGUGGACUGAAGGGUGUGUUUCUGUGCUUCAUCUCUAUACUAAACUAAAGGGGGGGGUUUUAAACAAAGGAAAAUCCAAAUUUACAAUUGUGGCAUUAACUAGCAGCAGUCCCAUUUGUUCUUUGUGUUACCUGUGCUUCCUAUUGACCCAUCUCUUUGCCUCCCAGUCCAGUGCUGAUCCAUUGUCAAAAGUAAAAUCUGGCCAAUACCAUGAGACUAUCUUCACCAGGAUUUUUCUUCAUGGAGAAUGUGUCUUCCUGUUACUCUUAUCAUGUUUGCGGUGCAACUGGCCAAGUAAGAGAUAAUUGAGAUAAACCCAUCCCACUGAACUCAGCAGAGUGUCUGUCCCAGUCCAAGUGCAUGGGAGUGUUGCUGAAUUUAUGGAUUGGAUUUGACAAAGUGCUUAAAAAUAGCUUGAUGAGUAAAAACAUCCUGCUUCAUUGACCCUGUAAAUGUGUUUAUGCAUUUUUCAAUGUGGAUAUUGGAAUCCUUGGACCAAAGACAUGGUUAGUUAAGAGAUCAGUCAUCUUAUUGCGCUUGGAAAGGUUUUUGUAAUUAACCUGACCACUGUUAACAGGAACCCUGUGCAGCAAUCAUUCUCCCAAGUCUUCAGCACCUUGAUUUCAAGCCGGAAGUUGACAUGUAGACAUGAUAUUGAUCUAGCUAAUCAAAAUGUCAUUCCCCGGAGGAACACGUCAUCAUUUGAACAAUAAAUGCAGUUACUGCAAAUGCUGACAUCAUGGUUGGUGGAGGAAGGAAAGAGAAUGGGCUCCCUGCUCUCUUGGGAAGAAGCAGUGACUAAUGUAGAACCAAGUCAUGAAGACUACCUUUGAAUGUAGUAUAUUUGACCUGCCAUUUGUUUGCACGGUCGGGAGUGAUGCUGUGGCUUUCCUCAUGAAGGAGGGGAUAGAUCAACUGAGGGUAUCACAUCCUGAAAGAAAUUACUACAAAUAUACCAUGCCCUUGGAUUGAGAGGGAAGCCAUAUUGAACACUAUUUUCCUAAAACGUUGUCCUGACCUUACUGAUCCCUAGCGGAUUUUGCUUGUCUAUUAAUUUUGCAUGUAUUGAGUAUUUCCAUAUUUUUGUCAUAUUUUGAAGGAGACACUUUUUCCAAAGGAGGAAAAAUAAAUGAAGGAG